GGUUCUAUGGAGUAGUGGUCAACUCUAGCGGUUCUGACUGAAGUGCAGGAUCCCCUUGCUUGAAGGGCUUGUUUGGAAUCCGCUUGCCCCCGGUUCGAAUCCGGGUAGGACCU
rnacentral:tRNA from 2 species